AGUGGAAUUGCUGGGUCGUAUGGUAGCUAUAUGUUCAACUUUUUGAGGAACUAUCAAAAUAUUUUCCACAGUGGCUGUGCCAUUUUGCAUUCCCACCAGAAAU
rnacentral:pre_miRNA from 1 species